GUCAGCCUACUUUUUUCUUCUUUCUUUGGAAACUUCUCUUAAAAGACAGAAAAUGCUAGAAAGUAAAUGCACCCCAUAUACACCUCAACACAGGGCCUUUGCCUGGUCUGUAUUGUGAAUUGGGGGGCAAAA